rnacentral:rRNA from 1 species
AGUGAACGCUGGCGGUAGGCCUAACACAUGCAAGUCGAACGGCAGCACAGUAAGAGCUUGCUCUUACGGGUGGCGAGUGGCGGACGGGUGAGGAAUACAUCGGAAUCUACUUUUUCGUGGGGGAUAACGUAGGGAAACUUACGCUAAUACCGCAUACGACCUACGGGUGAAAGCAGGGGAUCUUCGGACCUUGCGCGAUUGAAUGAGCCGAUGUCGGAUUAGCUAGUUGGCGGGGUAAAGGCCCACCAAGGCGACGAUCCGUAGCUGGUCUGAGAGGAUGAUCAGCCACACUGGAACUGAGACAGGGUCCAGACUCCUGCGGGAGGCAGCAGUGGGGAAUAUUGGACAAUGGGGGCGAGCCUGAUCCAGCCAUACCGCGUGGGUGAAGAAGGCCUUCGGGUUGUAAAGCCCUUUUGUUGGGAGAGAAAAGCAGCAGGUUAAUACCCCGCUGUUCUGACGGUACCCGAAGAAUAAGCACCGGCUAACUUCGUG